rnacentral:tRNA from 2 species
GGACCCGUAGCUCAGCCAGGAUAGAGCGCCGGCCUCCUAAGCGGAGGCAAGAGUGAGCCGAGGGUCGGGGGUCCGAAUCCCCCCGGGUCCG